rnacentral:lncRNA from 1 species
UAUGCCUGUUUGUAAAUAUAUAUUAGAGUACACAAAUAUAUACUCUUAAGAUGUGUAUAUCAAAAUUGGCACAUUAUUAUUUUUCUCUUUCCCUAUUUUCUUAUUUUUCUAUUUUUUUAUUUUUCUAUUUUUCUAUUUUUCUAUUUUUCUAUUUUUACACAAUUAUAACAAAAUAUAAUAAAAGAUUAACAGGUUGGGAGAAGCUUCUAUUCUCAUGGCAAAACAAAUGACAACGAAUUUAGAAAACAUGAAAUUAAUAGAACAUGCACAAGUAAAGCAAAUAGAAAACACGAAUAGGUUUGACAGUUUUUUAAGAGGGAUUAAAAGCGAUUUCAACGAGGUUAUCAAUAUUUUAUUAAAAAUAAAACGUCAUCAUGAUAAAAUAACAAGAUUUGUGUUAGCAUUUAAGCUAUUUGUAGUUUAUCUGUCUAUUGCGUUACUAAUACUGUUUAUAACAUCAAGAAGCUACACAUCUAACUGUAGAAAAAAAAUUAUUUCAUGUGUGUUUUUGUGUUUAAUAAGUGAAUUAAUAUUUAGAAAAAUAAUUACAUUACUUCAAAUGUAUCUACGCCUUCAAGUUAAUACAAACGUAGUUAGCUACUCGACACAAGGGAUAAGAUAUGGCUUCGCUUUAUUUGCUUUCAAAAUUCUGAUUACAACAGUCAUGACGUAAAAACAAAAAAAUGUUACCACGAUACAUAAUGUGUUUUAUUGUGAU